rnacentral:rRNA from 1 species
ACCGUGAGGGAAAGGUGAAAAGCACUUCGAACAGAAGAGUGAAAUAGUUCCUGAACCCAUACGCCUACAAGCUGUCGGAGCCGCUUCGUGCGGUGACGGCGUGCCUUUUGCAUAAUGAGCCUACGAGUUACUCAUCACCAGCGAGGUUAAGUACUUCAGGUACGUAAGCCGAAGCGAAAGCGAGUCUGAAUAGGGCGUCAAGUUGGUGGUGGUAGACGCGAAACCUUAGUGAUCUACCCAUGGGCAGGGUGAAGGUUUGGUAACACAAACUGGAGGCCCGAACCGGUAAACGUUGAAAAGUUUUCGGAUGACCUGUGGGUAGGGGUGAAAGGCCAAUCAAACUGGGAAAUAGCUCGUACUCUCCGAAAUGCAUUUAGGUGCAGCCUCUGUUGUUUUGUUCUAGAGGUAGAGCUACUGAUUGGAUGCGAGGGCUUCACCGCCUAUCAAAUCCGGCCAAACUCCGAAUGCUAGAACAUGAAGACAGGGAGUGAGCCAGCGGGUGCUAAGGUCCGUUGACGAAAGAGGGAGAACUCAGACCAUCAGCUAAGGUCCCCAAUUAUAUGCUAAGUUGGAAUAAAAACGGGGUGGGACUGCUUAGACAGCUAGGAUGUUGGCUUGGAAGCAGCCAUUCAUUUAAAGAGUGCGUAACAGCUCACUAGUCGAGCGGUCCUGCAUGGAUAAUACGCGGGCAUAAGCAUAUAACCGAAGCUAUGGGAUUGUAGAUGAUACAAUCGGUAGGAGAGCAUUCCAUUCAGCAUAGAAGCAGUACCGUGAGGUAUUGUGGAGCGGAUGGAAAAGCAAAUGUAGGCAUAAGUAACGAUAAUGCGGGUGAGAACCCCGCACGCCGAAAGAUCAAGGAUUCCCCGGCAAUGUCAAUCAUCCGGGGGUAAGUCGGAUCCUAAGGGUAAGCCGAGUGGCGAUCCCGAUGGUAAACAGGUUAAUAUUCCUGUACUGAUCAUAACUGCGAUGCAGCGACGCAGAGGUGACACUGCUGCGUACUGACGGAAUAGUACGUUGAAACCCGUAUUCUUUGAUACCGGUAGUGAAGCACGCCGGUAGAGAUGAAAGGUGAUAGUACCGCAAUGCUUCGGUUGCGCGGAUAAUGCAGGUAAGCUGACUGCCAAGAAAACCUGCUAAGCUUCAGGUAAUGAUCAUCCGUACUGUAAACGGACACACGUGAUCAGGUAGAAAAUACUAAGGCGCUCGAGAGAUUCAUGGUUAAGGAACUAGGCAAAAUGGUCCUGUAACUUCGGGAUAAAGGACGCUCUUGUGAAAGAGCCGCAGAUAAUAGGCCCAGGCGACUGUUUACCAAAAACACAUGGCUAUGCUAAUUCGCAAGAAGAUGUAUAUGGCCUGACACCUGCCCGGUGCCGGAAGGUUAAGAGGAGAGCUCAGAGGUAACUCGAAGGUUUGAAUUGAAGCCCCGGUAAACGGCGGCCGUAACUAUAACGGUCCUAAGGUAGCGAAAUUCCUUGUCGGGUAAGUUCCGACCUGCACGAAUGGUGUAACGAUCUGGGUACUGUCUCAACCAUGAGCUCGGUGAAAUUGUAGUUCCGGUGAAGAUGCCGGAUACCCGCAACGGGACGGAAAGACCCCGUGAACCUUUACUGCAGCUUUGCAUUGAUUUUGGGUAACAGAUGUGUAGGAUAGGUCGGAGGCUUUGAUGCUGCGUCGUCAGGCGUAGAGUAGCCGUCGUUGAAAUACGACCCUUUUGUUAUCUGAGGUCUAAUCCCGUUAGGGAGACAUUGCAUGGUGGGUAGUUUGACUGGGGUGGUCGCCUCCAAAAGUGUAACGGAGGCUUCUCAAGGUACCCUCAAGGCGUUUGGUAAUCGUCUGCAGAGUGCAAUGGCAUAAGGGUGCUUGACUGUGAGACCGACACGUCGAUCAGGUUGGAAACAAGAGCAUAGUGAUCCGGUGGUUCCGCAUGGAAGGGCCAUCGCUCAAAGGAUAAAA